UACAGAGGGGGCAAGCGUUAUUCGGAAUUAUUGGGCGUAAAGGGCGCGUAGGCGGCCUGGCAAGUGGAUGGUGAAAUCCCUCGGCUUAACCGAGGAACUGCCAUCCAGACUGCUUGGCUUGAGACCGGGAGAGGUGAGUGGAAUUCCCAGUGUAGCGGUGAAAUGCGUAGAUAUUGGGAGGAACACCAGUGGCGAAGGCGGGCUCGAC
rnacentral:rRNA from 1 species